UAAAAAUAAUUUAAGGCAAAAAAAUUUUUCACAAAUGGUCAUAGUAAAUUUAUAUUUGUAUAUAUGGUCCUCUUCUUGCUAGGUGAGCGACACGUUAGUAAUUUUAAAUUGAACACGAUAGUUGAAUCACCAUAUUCAUAUUCACAUUUUAGUCCAUUUAUUUUAAUUUAAAAAUAAUAAAAAAUAUAAAAAAAAAAUACAAUAAUCUAACCACUGUGUUUAAAUAUAAUCAUUGAAAUACCGUGUUUAACUUAAAAACACCACCUAGGAACUCACAUGGCAAGGAAAAGAAUAUUUUAUACAAAUAUAAAUUUAGUACGGCUAUUUAUAAAAUAAAAAAUUUUGAGUGGACUAAAUUUUAAAAGAAAAGGCUCUAUAAAAUUUGUUAAGAGAAGAUGGUUGCAACCAUAAUUUUAUGGUAUAAAAAUAA
rnacentral:lncRNA from 1 species